rnacentral:lncRNA from 1 species
GAAGGUCUUAGUGUCAUUGUAUUGGCUCGGGGUGAGGGUUCUAAACAGGAAGGUCUUAGUGUCAUUGUAUUGGCUCGGGGUGAGUGUUCUAAACAGGAAGGUCUUAGUAUCAUUGUAUUGGCUCGGGGUGAGGGUUCUAAGCAGGAAGGUCUUUGUAUCAUUGUAUUGGCUCGGGGUGAGGGUUCUAAACAGGAAGGUCUUUGUGUCAUUGUAUUGGCUUGGGGUGAGGGUUCUAAACAGGAAGGUCUUUGUAUCAUUGUAUUGGCUCGGGGUGAGUGUUCUAAACAGGAAGGUCUUAGUAUCAUUGUAUUGGCUCGGGGUGAGGGUUCUAAGCAGGAAGGUCUUUGUAUCAUUGUAUUGGCUCGGGGUGAGGGUUCUAAACAGGAAGGUCUUUGUGUCAUUGUAUUGGCUUGGGGUGAGUGUUCUAAACAGGAAGGUCUUUGUAUCAUUGUAUUGGCUCGGGGUGAGUGUUCUAAACAGGAAGGUCUUAGUAUCAUUGUAUUGGCUCGGGGUGAGGGUUCUAAGCAGGAAGGUCUUUGUAUCAUUGUAUUGGCUCGGGGUGAGGGUUCUAAACAGGAAGGUCUUUGUGUCAUUGUAUUGGCUUGGGGUGAGGGUUCUAAACAGGAAGGUCUUUGUAUCAUUGUAUUGGCUCGGGGUGAGGGUUCUAAACAGGAAGGUCUUAGUGUCAUUGUAUUGGCUCGGGGUGAGUGUUCUAAACAGGAAGGUCUUUGUAUCAUUGUAUUGGCUCGGGGUGAGUGUUCUAAACAGGAAGGUCUUAGUGUCAUUGUAUUGGCUCGGGGUGAGGGUUCUAAACAGGAAG